AACGAACGCUGGCGGCAUGCCUAACACAUGCAAGUCGAACGAGAUCUUCGGGUCUAGUGGCGCACGGGUGCGUAACGCGUGGGAAUCUGCCCUUUGGUUCGGAAUAACAGUUGGAAACGACUGCUAAUACCGGAUGAUGACGAAAGUCCAAAGAUUUAUCGCCAGAGGAUGGGCCCGCGUAGGAUUAGCUAGUUGGUGUGGUAAAGGCGCACCAAGGCGACGAUCCUUAGCUGGUCUGAGAGGAUGAUCAGCCACACUGGGACUGAGACACGGCCCAGACUCCUACGGGAGGCAGCAGUGGGGAAUAUUGGGCAAUGGGCGAAAGCCUGAUCCAGCAAUGCCGCGUGAGUGAUGAAGGCCUUAGGGUUGUAAAGCUCUUUUACCCGGGAUGAUAAUGACAGUACCGGGAGAAUAAGCUCCGGCUAACUCCGUGCCAGCCGCCGCAGUAA
rnacentral:rRNA from 1 species